UACAGGGGGUGCAAACGUUGCUCGGAAUUAUUGGGCGUAAAGCGCGCGUAGGCGGCUACCUAAGUCGGAUGUGAAAGCCCCUGGCUCAACUGGGGAAGUGCACCCGAAACUGAGUAGCUAGAGUGCAAAAGAGGGUCGCGGAAUUCCCGGUGUAGAGGUGAAAUUCGUAGAUAUCGGGAGGAACACCGGUGGCGAAGGCGGCGACCUGGGUUGACACUGACGCUGAGGCGCGAAAGCGUGGGGAGCAAACAGG
rnacentral:rRNA from 1 species